rnacentral:rRNA from 1 species
GCCUGAAGUUAUGCUAUGCUAUCUUUUGCUGCAAUUCCAUCAGAUCUUACCAGCACUUAGGGUUGGGCCAAGUUAAUACUCAGAUGGGUGAUCUUCAGUGAACAUUGCGGGUGCUUCAGGCA